rnacentral:rRNA from 1 species
AGCGAACGCUGGCGGCAGGCUUAACACAUGCAAGUCGAACGGGCGUAGCAAUACGUCAGUGGCAGACGGGUGAGUAACGCGUGGGAACGUACCUUUUGGUUCGGAACAACCCAGGGAAACUUGGGCUAAUACCGGAUAAGCCCUUACGGGGAAAGAUUUAUCGCCGAAAGAUCGGCCCGCGUCUGAUUAGCUUGUUGGUGAGGUAACGGCUCACCAAGGCGACGAUCAGUAGCUGGUCUGAGAGGAUGAUCAGCCACAUUGGGACUGAGACACGGCCCAAACUCCUACGGGAGGCAGCAGUGGGGAAUAUUGGACAAUGGGCGCAAGCCUGAUCCAGCCAUGCCGCGUGAGUGAUGAAGGCCCUAGGGUUGUAAAGCUCUUUUGUGCGGGAAGA